GAUGAAGAACGUAGCGAAAUGCGAUAAGUAGUGUGAAUUGCAGAAUUCAGUGAAUCAUCGAAUCUUUGAACGCACAUUGCGCCCCUUGGUAUUCCAUGGGGCAUGCCUGUUCGAGCGUCAUUUGUACCUUCAAGCUUUGCUUGGUGUUGGGUGUUUGUCUCGCCUUUGCGUGUAGACUCGCCUUAAAAUAAUUGGCAGCCGGCGUAUUGAUUUCGGAGCGCAGUACAUCUCGCGCUUUGCACUCAUAACGACAGCGUCCAAAAGUACAUUUUACACUCUUGACCUCGGAUCAGGUAGGGAUACCCGCUGAACUUAAGCAUAUCAAUAGGAGGA
rnacentral:misc_RNA from 1 species